UACGUAGGGGGCAAGCGUUGUCCGGAUUUAUUGGGCGUAAAGAGCGUGUAGGCGGCCAGGUAGGUCCGGUGUGAAAACUCGAGGCUCAACCUCGAGACGUCGGCGGAAACCCUCUGGCUAGAGUCCGGAAGAGGAGAGUGGAAUUCCUGGUGUAGCGGUGAAAUGCGCAGAUAUCAGGAAGAACACCCGUGGCGAAGGCGGCUCUCUGGGCCGUAACUGACGCUGAGGAGCGAAAGCAUGGGGAGCGAACAGG
rnacentral:rRNA from 1 species